UCUCCCUCUGCCCACCCACCUGCACCUGACAGCUGUGGGCUGUGCUCUCAGGGAGGCACCGUCAGAUGCUACCAGACUACAGAGGAGAGCACCCUCAAUCCUGACUGAAGGUUUGGGAAAAGGCUGCUCAGAAGAGGUGAUACUUGAUAUGGGCCCUGGAGGAGGAGAAGCAGUUUGAGAAGACAGCAGUGAGAGAUGGCAUCCGGGCAGGCGAGAAAUGCAAAGGGAAGAGAGGUCAUCCAGGACAAAAGUACAGAAUGAAAAGAAAAAGCAACUAAGCACGAAAUCUUGGAGAAUGUCCUCAUUGAAGGGUCCUGAGCACCAAGGGUACAGUCAGAAAUGAUGAAUCCAGAAAUGAUGCCCUCCAGAACUUCUGGUGAGGAAGGCACUCAGGAAAAUGCAGCACCCUAUGGAGGCCCAGAAAGGAGGGCAUUCAGGAAGAACACAGUCUGAUGGUGUCAAGUGCAGCGGAGGCUAAGAGGAUUCAUUUUUCACAUCUUCAUUCACUGGGAUUCUGGACCAUAAUAUAUGUAAACACACAAAAUACUAAAGAUUGAAAAUACAAUACUGUUAUAUGUGCUCAUGUAAAUUGUCUGGCAAUUAGCUGCAAGAGGAUUGUAGGAAGAGAUUCUACCUAUCCAUCUCUUUACACCAUGCCUUCUGAAGAGAAGAUUUUCGGAGAGACUCAGUGCCUCCUUCAGAGAUGCGGUGGAUAUUAGCUUCUGUUGUAUCCUUCAUACAGAACCUGGUGCUGAGAGACAGCUUCUUCUUUUUUUUUUUUUCUUUAAACUUUUCUUAAGACUAGUCAAGUACAGUAUCAAGAAGACGGGAAAGAGUAGAACAAGGAAUUGGAUCCGUAACUGACUGUGAACAAUCAAUUGAGGUAACUCAUUACCUUUGAACCAACCUGGGAGGCAGCCUUGUGACUCACCUCAAUCCUCAAUCUUCUCAGCUAGUUCACUUUGGCCUGGCUCAGGGGCUGACCUAGAAUGAUCCUGUCCAGAAGGACCCUGGAUGUUCUUAGAGACACAGACUGCUAGGGCUGGCAGGGACUUUUCAUCCAAUUCCUCUGUGACAGAGGAGGAAGUGGAGGUGCAGAAGGAGAGGUGAGCUGCCUGUGGUCCUUCAGCUUACUAAUGGCAGUGUUAGGACUGGACCUGAGGGCUCUUCCCUCCAGUCCGGCGCUAUUUAUUCCAUGACAGUGCCUCUCAAACUGUGUUCUCACAAGCAGCUAGUGCUCAGGCAGCUGGACUGAGGCCCUGCCUGCCAAAUCAAAUAUUGGAGGUCUUUCUCCAAUGUGCAGAAAAAAAAAGUAAUUAAUGGGUUAAGUUUCCUUAGGGUUAAAUUAUUUUUCCAUUAAUGCUUCUUAAACCAUUGUCACCUGCUACCAAUUGUCUACUAGCCAAUGCAUGCAGGCAACAAAACAAAAGGAUAAGCCACAAGUAAAUAAGAACAAGAACAACCAAAGCCUUGGAAACACACCAUCAUUCUUAAGUUAAAGGCUUAAAAAAAAAAUAGAGGAAG
rnacentral:lncRNA from 1 species